GAAGUAAAAGUCGUAACAAGGUCUCCGUUGGUGAACCAGCGGAGGGAUCAUUAUCGAGUUACACAACUCCCAAACCCAUGUGAACUUACCUGACGUUGCUUCGGCGGACCGCCCCGGUGCCUAAACGCGCCGGAACCAGGCGCCCGCCGGGGGACCGAAACACUCUUGUUUUUUUCUACGCGGAAUUCUGAGUGGCAUUUAUUACAAAUAAAUCAAAACUUUCAACAACGGAUCUCUUGGUUCUGGCAUCGAUGAAGAACGCAGCGAAAUGCGAUAAGUAGUGUGAAUUGCAGAAUUCAGUGAAUCAUCGAAUCUUUGAACGCACAUUGCGCCCGCCAGCAUUCUGGCGGGCAUGCCUGUUCGAGCGUCAUUUCAACCCUCAAGACCCCUUCCCUUUCGGGGGGACGGGCCUUGGUGUUGGCGGCCGGCUGCCUACCCUGCGCAGCCGCCGCCGAAAUGCAGGGGCGGUCGCCUCGCGGUAACCAUUACGCAGUAGUGACAUCUCGUAACUGGGACGCGGAGCGGCCACGCCUAACCCCCAAUUCUUUCUAGAGUGACCUC
rnacentral:misc_RNA from 1 species